GAUGAACGCUGGCGGCGUGCCUAAUACAUGCAAGUCGAGCGAACGGACGAGAAGCUUGCUUUUCUGAUGUUAGCGGCGGACGGGUGAGUAACACGUGGAUAACCUACCUAUAAGACUGGGAUAACUUCGGGAAACCGGAGCUAAUACCGGAUAAUAUUUUGAACCGCAUGGUUCAAAAGUGAAAGACGGUCUUGCUGUCACUUAUAGAUGGAUCCGCGCUGCAUUAGCUAGUUGGUAAGGUAACGGCUUACCAAGGCAACGAUGCAUAGCCGACCUGAGAGGGUGAUCGGCCACACUGGAACUGAGACACGGUCCAGACUCCUACGGGAGGCAGCAGUAGGGAAUCUUCCGCGAUGGGCGAAAGCCUGACGGAGCAACGCCGCGUGAGUGAUGAAGGUCUUCGGAUCGUAAAACUCUGUUAUUAGGGAAGAACAUAUGUGUAAGUAACUGUGCACAUCUUGACGGUACCUAAUCAGAAAGCCACGGCUAACUACGU
rnacentral:rRNA from 1 species